rnacentral:lncRNA from 1 species
AGCGCCGAGAUUCCGCGUGUGACCCACGGGACUGUGUCCCUCAGCGCCGAGAUUCCGCGUGUGACCCACGGGACUGUGUCCCUCAGCGCCGAGAUUCCGCGUGUGACCCACGGGACUGUGUCCCUCAGCGCCGAGAUUCCGCGUGUGACCCACGGGACUGUGUCCCUCAGCGCCGAGAUUCCGCGUGUGACCCACGGGACUGUGUCCCUCAGCGCCGAGAUUCCGCGUGUGACCCACGGGACUGUGUCCCUCAGCACCGAGAUUCCGCGUGUGACCCACGGGACUGCAGUCCCUCAGCACCGAGAUUCUGCGUGUGACCCACGGGACUGUGUCCCUCAGCACCGAGAUGCGGGUGUGACCCACAGGACUGUGUCCCUCAGCACCGAGAUUCCGCAUGUGACCCACGGGACUGCGGUCCCUCAGCACCGAGAUGCGGGUGUGACCCACAGGACUGUGUGCAGGGCAGGGUGAGCGGCUCCGAAGGACGUGCUGAUUUGUUUUGUGCGACCACCAGAGCAGGAGCCAGAGAAAAGCCCUGUGCCAUUCCUGGCUGGUGUCGUUCCUCUGGGGAAGAAGGCAGCUCUGCUGAACCAGCUACAUCCCUUGGCCCGGCAGGAGGCAGGACGAGGGAGUGAGCUGCGCAAAGAACACAUCCACCUGGGCUUGCUCCUCCGAACACCUUCAACACUCUCAGCCUCCUCUCCCACUCCGUUCUCCUCUUCUGAGCUUUCCCGAAUCACCAGUGCGUGGAGGCGGCCUCUCGUUCCUGUCCACCUCAUCACAGGCCGACACCCUAAUCACAGACAACGGAAACGGCUCCUGGACUCAGAUUCCAGAGGCUCCAAGGCCCUCGGUCCUGGCCAGGCCCCUCCAUGGUCACAGCAGUGAUGGCCUCGUCCUUCCCACAUGAGGGCCCCAAGGGUAACCCUGGAUAACUCAGCAUGAUCUCCCACCCAAGGGCCCUGCCUGGAGCCUGAGUCCACCUCAGCUGCGUGUCCUUUCCCCCAAGCCCAACACACUCAGUCUCUGGGGAUCAGGGUCUGUGCGUCUCUGGGUGACUGCUCCACCUGCCCCAGCAGGGCGCCGCGGGUGCAUGGGUCCUGUGCCGGCAUCUGCCUGGCUGUCACCACGGGCAUCUGCCUGAAGGCAGCAGUUCUCCGCCUUCCCGCCUGCUGUGAACCUGGUUUCUGCUCCCUGGUUUCUGCCUGGCUCCCACGGAAAAGAUCGCCACAUUCUCUGCUUCUCUCCACUGUCUGCCCUCCUCCGACAGGCACGGCCAUUUCUGUCGAGUGCCUCUGAACCUCAGAGUUCAUGCAACGCUUGAGGUGAACAGAAAGCCCAGGUCUCCAUUCAGGGCGGGUUCGCAGACUCUCAUAGCCCCCACACUUGUCGCUCUCAGCAGCUAUCUCAGAACCUGUUAUUAACCAAGUGAUGCGAUUGGUCUCUCUUCUCAUUAGACCAUGACCUCUAUGGGGACGCGAACCUGUUUAUUCCCACACUGAGGCUUCAACCCAGGGCCUACACUUAGGAAAUACCUGACAUUUGUUGAGUUUGUGAACAGAUGAGCACAUCCUCCAUUAAAUGAAGCUGAGUGAAGUGAAGGCUGAGAGGAGAUGGUGACAGCAGGAGAUGCAGCUGUGGGGGCAGAUUCUCCCUCUCAGUGACGUUGUCACCAAUGCAGCAGCUGAUCGGCAGCUGACUGUGUUGGGGUCAAUUGGGCAGCUUCAGUCUGUCCCUCUGCAGAGAUGGCUCAUGGUGCAGAUAUGCAGCGAGCAGGCCUGGGUCUCCUGCAGGCCAGUCCUCACCCACCUGUGUCUCAGUUUCCUCUUUUAUAAAACAGUGACAAGGCAGUCCUCCCCUCAUAGCAACGCGGGGGUGGCUGAGGGAGCUGUGAGCCCUUGUCCCUGGACUUAGGACAGGGUCUGGUGCCCUUUGAGACUGGGCCACCCUUUAAGCUCCAGCACUCCAGUGACUCCAGCAGCAUCAGCUGUGCUCCGCUCCCACGAAGAUGCUCUAGAAUGUAGACACACCAUUGCUUUUGUGGAACCAAGAGAGGAAAAACACUUCCAAUUAAACUAUGACAAGCCAUGUAAC